GGUGGGUUGGCUUGUCAGGUUGAUUCCGGUAACGAACGAGACCUCAGCCUGCUAAAUAGUCACGUCUGGUUCGCCAGACGGCAGACUUCUUAGAGGGACUAUUAGCGACUAUCAGCUAAUUGAAGUAUGAGGCAAUAACAGGUCUGUGAUGCCCUUAGAUGUUCUGGGCCGCACGCGCGCUACACUGACGCGUUCAACGAGCCUCCUGGUCACGAGAGGACCGGGUAAUCUUGUAAACCGCGUCGUGAUGGGGCUAGAGCUUUGUAAUUAUUGCUCUUUAACGAGGAAUGCCUAGUAAGCGCGAGUCAUCAACUCGCGU
rnacentral:rRNA from 1 species